rnacentral:rRNA from 1 species
CUCGUCCUCGCAGCAAGUCCCGAGCCCGACCCCGUCGCCUCCUCUGCUUCGCCCGUGCCUAUCGCCGGCCGGCCACAGCCAGUUCCUCCCCGCCUCGGAGCUCCCUUGCACCGCCGGACCCGCUUCCAUCGGCCUCCGUUCGGCACGCCGCCGCCGGGAUCUUCUCGCCGCCUCGCUGACCCGUCCCCGGCCACCGGUGCCCUCGCCGGAGGCCACCAGCGCCAUCGC